GCUGGCGUGGCUCAGUGGUAGAGCAGCGCACUCGUAAUGCGCAGGUCGUGGGUUCGACUCCCACCGCCAGCUCCA
rnacentral:tRNA from 1 species